CGACGAAAAAAAAAUAUAUAAUUCUGGAAAGUAGUAAGAACACUUUUGAAUUCUACUCGGCAAACACAGGGGCGGCGGAACAGGGGGGGCUAGGGGGGCUAAAGCCCCCCCAGAAGUAAAAGUGGGGGGGCUUAGCCCCCCAGAAAAUUUGAAUUUUUGGAAAAAAUUUUGAUAAUUACAGAAAAAUUUAGGUUAUUUUUUGAAAAUUUAGGUAUGAG